rnacentral:rRNA from 1 species
GAUGAACGCUAGCGGGAGGCCUAACACAUGCAAGCCGAGCGGUAGAGUCUCUUCGGAGACUUGAGAGCGGCGCACGGGUGCGGAACACGUGUGCAACCUGCCUUUAUCUGGGGGAUAGCCUUUCGAAAGGAAGAUUAAUACCCCAUAAUAUACUGGAUGGCAUCAUCUGGUAUUGAAAACUCCGGUGGAUAGAGAUGGGCACGCGCAAGAUUAGAUAGUUGGUGAGGUAACGGCUCACCAAGUCAGCGAUCUUUAGGGGGCCUGAGAGGGUGAUCCCCCACACUGGUACUGAGACACGGACCAGACACCUACGGGAGGCAGCAGUGAGGAAUAUUGGACAAUGGGUGAGAGCCUGAUCCAGCCAUCCCGCGUGAAGGACGACGGCCCUAUGGGUUGUAGACUUCUUUUGUAUAGGGAUAAACCUAGAUACGUGUAUCUAGCUGAAGGUACUAUACGAAUAAGCACCGGCUAACUCCGUG